rnacentral:rRNA from 1 species
AGAGUUGAUCAUGGCUCAGGAUGAACGCUAGCUACAGGCUUAACACAUGCAAGUCGAGGGGCAGCAUUUCAGUUUGCUUGCAAACUGGAGAUGGCGACCGGCGCACGGGUGAGUAACACGUAUCCAACCUGCCGAUAACUCGGGGAUAGCCUUUCGAAAGAAAGAUUAAUACCCGAUGGUAUAAUCAGACCGCAUGGUCUUGUUAUUAAAGAAUUUCGGUUAUCGAUGGGGAUGCGUUCCAUUAGGCAGUUGGUGAGGUAACGGCUCACCAAACCUUCGAUGGAUAGGGGUUCUGAGAGGAAGGUCCCCCACAUUGGAACUGAGACACGGUCCAAACUCCUACGGGAGGCAGCA